rnacentral:ncRNA from 2 species
GACGAGAGACAGGGGCGCCUUCCUAACGGUCGGCUGAGAAGCACCCUUUGAACCUGAACCGGAUAAUGCCGGCGGAGGGAGUCGCUCGGGACUUUUC